GUCGCAGUAUUUACUGACACAGACGCGGAAAGGAGGGUUUGGGGAAACAAUGCUAAAUGCGAAUAAUAAAAUGUAACUAAAUAUAUAGCCGUGCAUUAUUAGGACAGCAAAAUAAGCAGUCCAUCAACUUUUAAUACUGAGGAGAAAACGCUUAUCAUAUCUAUCUUUUGUCGAUGCCAGAGGCCGAAUGUUGCUACUAUAUUUUGGCGCGAAUCUGUCUCUUGGUAGAAGCUAGCCAGUAGCCAAAUUAGGUGUAUACCAACACUGACAGGUGACAUGCCCUCGUCCUCCAUGAACAUGUAAAGGAGAUAAUUACAUCAAAAGGUUAACCUGCCACCAUAGGGAGGAAAAGAGAGACAGAGGACAGAAGAGAAGGAAUAAGAGACUGCUCAACUCAGGGCGAAAAAAACCCGGAGGAAGGUAAAGAAACAUAGGAAAGGGUUAAAACAUGACAACAAACAUCAAAGGGGCAAAUAAGAUGCACACAUAACCACACUGCUAAAAUAACCGCAUUUGUCAACUACGAGUCAAAUUUUUGAGUGUGCAACAUGCAUUCAAGCACACAUGAACAUAUGUACACACAGACAACGACACACCCAUACAUUCUCAUUUACACACUGAGCGAGCAGUGAACACGAAAUCAGGGAGAAGAUUCACAAACCAAAAAAGGAAGAUCAUCACAGACAUACCAAGUCUUGUCUUUAAGAUCAUCAUCAUCAUGAAGAUGUAUAACCCAAAUAAUGAGUAAUUACAAAAAUACAUUUUAUCAUCAUUAACUCAUUGUAUGUCACUUUGGAUGGUUGAGGUUAUACCUUCAUAAACUGGGUUGUUAGGUGACCAGGGAGCGAGACAUAAAAAAACAAACAAAAAAAAAAACAACAGUGUUAAGUAUAGUUCUUUGGUUUAACUAGAAGUGUUGAAGUUCUUUGCCAUUUUUAUUUUUAUUUUAUUUUUUAAAAUCUUUUUAAACACCUUUGGACUGAAGCUGUUCUUUUUUUGUUCUUUUUAAAAUGUAAAAUACAAAGAGAGCGAGAGAGAGAGGGGGAGAGGGGGAGAGGGGGGAAUCAGAGUCAAACGAGAAAGAAAAGGUGUAUCUAACUUCCAGUUCUCUUGGUCAGGCAGUGUCAAACGAUAUGUUAUUCUUUUUGGGAAUUUUUCUUAAACACCAGAUCAGACUGUUAUUGAAGUCAGAACUGACUGAAUAACAAGAUUCUGUGCAAUUUUAGCGAAUCUCAAGGUUUCCUAUAUAUAUACACACACAAUAUGUAUAUACACUGGCGGCCAAAAGUUUGGAAUAAUGUACAGAUUUUGCUGUUUCAGAAGGAAAUUGGUACUUUAAUUCACCAAAAUGGCAUUCGACUGAUCACAAAGUAUAGUCAGGACAUUACUGAUGUAAGAAAACAGCACCAUCACUAUUUGAAAAGUCUUUUUUAUUUUUUAUUUUUUUUAUCCCCUUUUCUCUCAAUUUGGAAUGCCCAAUUCCCACUACUUAGUAGGUCCUCGUGGUGGCGCGGUUACUCACCUCAAUCCGGGUGGCGGAGGACAAGUCUCAGUUGCCUCCGCUUCUGAGACAAUCAAUCCGCGCAUCUUAUCACGUGGCUCAUUGUGCGUGACACUGUGGAGACUCACAGCAUGUGGAGGCUCAUGCUAUUCUCAGCGAUCCAUGCACAACUUACCAUGUGCCCCAUUGAGAGUGAGAACCACUAAUCGUGACCACGAGGAGGUUACCCCAUGUGACCCUACCCUCCCUAGCAACCGGGCCAAUUUGGUUGCUUGGGAGACCUGGCUGGAGUCACUCAGAACACCCUGGAAAGGAAUUUGUGACUCCAGGGGUGGUAGUCAGCGUCAAAACUUGCUGAGCUACCCAGGCCAAGUCAUUUUUGGUCAAAUCUAGACAGGCCCCAUUUCCAGCAGCCAUCACUCCAACACCUUAUCCUUGAGUAAGCAUGCUAAAUUGCUAAUUAAGAAGAAGCCUUUAUUUUGGUCACACAUUAUACAUUUGCACAUAUUCAGUGAAAUUCUAAUGUGGUACUAGAAAAUCACUUGCCAUUAUAUCAAACACAGCUGAAAGCUAUUUGGUUUGUUAAAUGAAGCUUAACAUUGUUUUUGUGUUUGUUUUUGAGUUGCCACAGUAUGCAAUAGACUGGCAUGUCUUAAGGUCAAUAUUAGGUUAAACAAAAAUGGCAAAAAGAAACAGCUUUCUCUAGAAACUCAUCAGUCAAUUGUUGUUUUGAGGAAUGAAGGCUAUACAAUGCUUGAAAUUGCCAAAAAACUGAAGAUUUCAUACAAAGGUGUACACUACAGUCUUCAAAGAGAAAGGACAACUGGCUCUAACAAGGAUAGAAAGAGAUGUGGAAGGCCAGAUGUAAAACUAAACAAGAGGAUAAGUACAUCAGAGUCUCUAGUUUGAGAAAUAGACGCCUCACAUGUUCUCAGCUGACAGCUUCAUUGAAUUCUACCCACUCAACACCAGUUUCAUGUACAACAGUAAAGAGAAGACUCAGGGGUGCAGGCCUUAUGGGAAGAAUUGCAAAUAAAAAGCCACUUUUGAAACAGAAAAACAAAAAGAAAAGGUUAGAGUGGGCAAAGAAACACAGACAUUGGACAACAGAUAAUUGGAAAAGAGUGUUAUGGAUCUUAACCCCAUUGAGCUUUUGUGGGAUCAGCUAGACUGUAAGGUGUGUGAGAAGUGCCCGACAAGACAGCCACAUCUAUGGCAAGUGCUACAGGAAGCGUGGGGUGAAAUGUCACCUGAGUAUCUGGACAAACUGACAGCUAGAAUGCCAAGGAUCUGCAAAGCUGUCGUUGCUGCACAUGGAGAAUUUUUUUAUGAGAACUCUCUUAAGUAGUUUAAGAAGUUCUGAACAUUUUUUCAAAUUGUAAUAGUAAUUUUUCAUGUUAUUAACUGACUAUACAUUGUGAUCAGUUGAAUGCCACUUUGGUGAAUAAAAGUACCAAUUUCUUUCAAACUUUUGGCUGCAAGUGUGUGUGUGUGUGUGUGUGUGUGUAGUACUGUACUGUGCAAAAGUCUUAGGCACAUAAGAUGUUUCACAAAACAUUUGUCUUAAGAUGGUUAUUUAUAUCUUCAGCUUUAGUGUGUCAAUAGGAAAUAUAAAUCUUAGACUCACAAACAUUACUUUUGCAAAUAGAAAAGAUUUGAACAGAAGAACAGGGAGCCCUGCAACAGAUGUCCUGGCCCCCACAAGGCCCCUCACUGAACAUCGUGUCUGUCUGAAAUUACAUAUAGAGACAGAAGCAAUUGAGAAUGCCUAAAUAGAAGAACUGUGCCGAAUUCUCCAAGAAGCUUGGAACAUCCUAUCUGCCAACAACCAAGAAAAACUGUGUCCAGGUGUACCUAGUAGAAUUGCUGCUGUUUUAAAGGCAAAGGUGGCCACAUUGAAUAUUGAUUUAGUUUUUUUAUGUUUACUGGACUUUGUAUGACAUUAAGUGAUAAAUGAAAACUAUUUAUACUGAACAAAAAUAUAGAUGCAACAUGCAACAAUUUCAAAGAUUUUUCUGAGUUGCAUUUAAGGAAAUCAGUCAAUUGAAAUAAAUUCAUUAGGCCCUAAUCUAAUCUAAUCAAUGCGUAUGGAAAAUUUCUGGGAUCUUUUAUUUCAGCUCAUGAAACAUGGGACCAACACUUUACAUGUUGCGUUUAUAUUUUUGUUCAGUGUAUUUCAUUAUUUUUGAAGACAUCCUCACUAUGCAACAUUUUUCACAAGUGCAUAAAACUUUGCACAGUACUGUAUAUACUGUGUUUGGUGACUGGAAAAGUGGUCACAGGGGCUGGUGCAGGACAGAGGAAGUGAACAGGCCAAAGCUUAAACCAAAUAGGUCGGCAUCUUACAGACUAAACAAAAAUAAGUUUUUUUUUCCCCCACUUAAAAUGGCAUCACAACAGUGAGUGCUUUCAUCUUCCUUGAUCUUUCAUCUAAACCUUACAGUUUAAACAUUCCCCUUUACGAUCACUCAGCCCUGGCCAAUUAGAACUUCAGAGCUUCUGUCUGUCCCCUACCGGCAGAUGCAACCAGCUUCUCUGUUUAAAGCAUUCAUCUAUUUGGUUUGUCAUUAAAGAGAGUGGGGUAUAUGAGGAACUAUCUCUUUUUACACCCCUUACCCAGGAGACAAAACAGGCACACCGAAAUAAUAAUAAUAAAAACAAAGAAGGAAUAGAAAUAGGACAAAGAGGAAAAAUGAGGCAGAGAGCAACAGAGAGGAAGAUGGAGAUGGCACUGAUACAUUUCCGUUAUCGCACAAUUACAUACAUUUUGCUGUAUUCUCUCCCCUCACUUAUGGAACCCCUUAUGCAUCUUCCAUCCAAAUCCCUCCAUCUAUCUUCUCCUAAAAUAUUUGGUUUUGUAGCUGUUUAAAGCUUUCAGUUCAAGGCUCAUGGCAGCACUGCCCUCAACAUUGUCACACACGUAUGGUAGCUAUCACAACAGUAACCAUAGCAACACAAUCGCUUACAUCAGCUUUGGUGAGACAGGUACGUAGAGAUACAAUGCAGGUGAACCGUUAAGAGAUCUACAAUUGAUCUUGUCUAGAUUGUAAUCUCACCCCUUUCUCACUUUUCUAUCAAAACCAUGGCAGUGCAUGCUUUUACUCUGGAAGGUUACUUCGACGUUGUGAGUUAAAGCUACCAAAACAUUUUAGCAGAUGAAACACAGUGCUGCUUUUUCCCCUGAUAGGUUACCCCUCUACAGGCUUUGUCCAGUAAGGAACAGCUAAGGGGUUGGGAAUACAAGUGUCCACCCCAUGCUGCCGUGGUUGGCCGAUUAGGACCAACGGUUGCAUUUGUCGAUGGAUUUAGUUUGAAAGGUUGCCUUGGCAAAGGAAGUUUACAUUUUAAUACAAUCUGGUGCCUCAAACACACCCACUACAAAACAGCAUUUGGAAUAUAUUAAAUAAAUUAAAAAAAGAAUUUAGAAAAUUUGCAAACAAGCCAGAGGAGAAUAAAUAAAGUAAUACAUUUGUUUCAAUUGGGGAGGAAAAAGACACAAAAACCCAAAAGAGAGAGAGUGUGAAUUUUUGGUCUAGGGAAAUGUCAACUUUUUUUUUAUCUUUUCACAACAUUUUUCAUCCAUACAUUAGUAAUAAGUAAGCAAAUAUAACAGAGAUUAUUUACUACAAAAUCUAUAGAAGCACUAACUGACCCACUCUAACUAUACGAUAACAGAGAACUGAGCUUAUGUAUUUCAUCCCUCAUUGAACCUGCAGUGCUCACCAACUACAGAUUCCAACACGCUAUAAAUACAACUGUUAGGUGGUGACCUUUGGGUGGGUGAGAGUAUGUAAAUUGUAGAGUAUAUGAUAUUUGGUUCUUUUAAAAGUUUUAAAGCUCAUUUUAUAUUUGACUUUGGUUCUUUGGAUGUACUUGAGCGUGUGUGUGUGUGUGUAAGUGUGUUUGUGUAUCCUGGUUUAUCAUCUGUUGUACUGAAUUUUCACAGUAUUGUUUCAACCACCUGAUUAGAGUCUCUAACACAACUAUAGGAACGAGUAAAGAACGUAAAAAAUUAGAUUUAUGCAAUACGUAAAUACCUUUUUACCAAAUGAUAGCACACAAAUGAAGAAGUACAGCAUCUACACACACGCAGAGAAAACCCCCACAUAACAGACAGAUGGAACAAAAGACCAAAAACAAUGACCCUCCCAACCCCCAAAUAUCUUUUUCAGAUGAGUUCAGUGAGGUCAUCAAAGAUCCCACCCCCCAGGACCAGGAAGCAUUUGAAUGACAGGAGGCAGAGGCAGGUGGAACCAUCGUGCCAUACAUUGAUCCCUUGCUACAAGGUUCUGGGUGACCUCGGUCCAGAUAUGUCUGAAGGGAAUGAUGUUUGUCUGUACAGCAACUCAUUUUCUCCUCUGUUCCUCUCUGUCCAUAUUUGGUUUGUUUUGUUUUUGGUUUUCCUUUCUGGGUUAGUGGGAGUUUGGCUGGCUGUGAAGUUUCAUAUAAUUUUUUUGGCUUGUAGAAAAAGCAGAGAGGACGGGAGCCCCUUUAUGGCAGAUCCCAGAUAUUUCCCAUAUGUGUUUUUGAGUGGGGUUGUCAAGGUUUGGGCUCCUGAUCUCUUUCUGCAUCACAUGAAUAAUGAUCUGAUAAUGUGUAUGAAUGAAUUGCUUUGGUAUUCAAAAGGGAGUCAGGGAGACAGGUGAUCAAUGAAUGAGGAAGGAUGCAACUGCAUUAUUAAGAGAGAAAUGAGAAUAUUUGCACUCACUUAAACUAGAGGCAUGAAUAGAGGCUUUGGUCUCUUUUUUUUUUUUACAGGAUCUGAAUUAAACUAUACGACAUUCAUGUCUUGGGACAUACAGUACAAGUAGAUGCUGCAUGCAAACUCUUGCAGCGCUAAUAUGAUGAACAGCAAAGACCAAACCCUCUCUAUAUGCUCAACAAGGCAUGAAAUGAUGAUGAUGAUGACCAAAUGCACUGAAACAUUCAAUAGAGACUUGAAUAACUGUUGAUGGAAAACCUGCUACUUUCUGUAAAACUAUUAAGCAACAACAAGGAAGAACCACAGAAAGCGUUUGAGCCAGGCUCACUCAAUAAUUAAAUCAUAAAAACAUAAUGGAAAGCAGGAAUGACAGAAAGACAGUAUGAUUGCAUGGCAGAUGGUGAUGGCUGGAUUGUGUCACUGGAUCUGGUCCUGGACAGUCAGCUAUUUACAGGUCCUUUGGAUAAAGCUUUUCCAUCCGUAUUUUUGGCGUUUGUUUUUGGUAUUUGAGAUUUUGGUAUUUGAGAUUUUGGUAUGCUUUUGUCAUAGUGAGUCUUUUAAAGUUCCAUUAUACUUUUUGGUAUUCAGUACUUCACAUGUUUGCUUCAAAGAGUGGAAAUCCCACACCUUUGCCAUUGUUCUACAAUGCACAGUAAAGUCCUUUCUUUUGUUGAUUUGGUGCACACAGAUUCAAGGAUCUCAUUUUGUCCUCUUCUAACUGUACUUUUUGUUCAAAUAGUUCUUCGUUCUCCUUUUAUGAAUGUAUUUAUCUGCAUCCUGCUAAGCCUUGUGGCGUUUUUUUUUUUUUUGGUUU